rnacentral:rRNA from 1 species
CCUACGGGGGGCUGCAGUGGGGAAUAUUGCACAAUGGACGAAAGUCUGAUGCAGCAACGCCGCGUGGAGGAUGACACAUUUCGGUGCGUAAACUCCUUUUAUAUAGGAAGAUAAUGACGGUACUAUAUGAAUAAGCACCGGAUAACUCCGUGCCAGAAGCCGCGGUAAUACGGAGGGUGCAAGCGUUACUCGGAAUCACUGGGCGUAAAGAGCGUGUAGGCGGGUAUAUAAGUCAGAAGUGAAAUCCAAUAGCUUAACUAUUGGACUGCUUUUGAAACUGUAUACCUAGAAUGUGGGAGAGGUAGAUGGAAUUUCUGGUGUAGGGGUAAAAUCCGUAGAGAUCAGGAGGAAUACCGGUUGCGAAGGCGAUCUACUGGAACAUUAUUGACGCUGAGACGCGAAAGCGUGGGGAGCAAACAGGAUUAGAUACCCCUGUAGUC